UUUGGAGUGCCAGAUUUUAUGGGUGUGAUUUAGGAUUAUAUUAAGGUUGGUUUAACCCUCUGGCG
rnacentral:tRNA from 1 species